GAGUAUUUUAAAUUAUCACUUUUUUGUACUUUUUUAAUAGUAUAAUAUUAUUAUUAUUUUAAAGUUAUAUACAUUAGUUAUUAGUAUUUAGCAUUUCUAGUAUAUUAUUUAUGUUGAAGCUACAUUUACUUAAGCUGAGAAGAAAUUGAAUGCACCCAAAUAAUCACCACGCUACGCCUAUAAACUUCCAUAUUUAAACUCUGCAAAAGAUCUUUUAUUAGAG